GGUCGGUAGAAGAAGCAAAUU
rnacentral:miRNA from 1 species